AGGAUUCUUGAGCUGUGACAUUGU
rnacentral:siRNA from 1 species